rnacentral:rRNA from 1 species
AACGAACGCUGGCGGCAUGCCUAACACGUGCAAGUCGAACGAUGCUUUCGGGCAUAGUGGCGCACGGGUGCGUAACGCGUGGGAAUCUGCCCUUGGGUUCGGAAUAACAGUGAGAAAUUGCUGCUAAUACCGGAUGAUGUCUUCGGACCAAAGAUUUAUCGCCCAGGGAUGAGCCCGCGUAGGAUUAGCUAGUUGGUGGGGUAAUGGCCUACCAAGGCGACGAUCCUUAGCUGGUCUGAGAGGAUGAUCAGCCACACUGGGACUGAGACACGGCCCAGACUCCUACGGGAGGCAGCAGUGGGGAAUAUUGGACAAUGGGCGCAAGCCUGAUCCAGCCAUGCCGCGUGAGUGAUGAAGGCCUUAGGGUUGUAAAGCUCUUUUACCCGGGAUGAUAAUGACAGUACCGGGAGAAUAAGCUCCGGCUAACUCCGUG